CAGGCUUGCUGGUACCAAGAGCUUUAUCCUCAUUUCCUAAGGAAACAAAGCUGAUGUGAUCAUAUUUUUACAGCGGCCACCUAACUUUUGAAUGUGCUGGCAAACCGAUUUGUCAAACGUACGGAGAUCUCAGAAGUGUUUGAGUCCCAUGAGCUUAGUGAAGGUCAGCAGCUCAAUAGGAGGGAUCAUAAUCCAUGCUCCCAGGGAAGGAAAAGGCUGUGAGUUAUACAACUGUGCUAUUAGAUAUCAGGCAUGCAGGUUGGGGGGUUUUGACAGCUUGGAGGGAGCCACAUUGCCUAAAUCGCAGCUCCUGACAAGUGGAAGUGCCACAUUCAGCAACAACAAAACGACACAGGCCUUCAGAGAGAGGGACUUCAAGUGCUGUCGUUACCUGCUGCAGAGCAGGUUCCAGGUUCCUCUGGAAACACUGAGGACGUUUCUCACGGAGGUUGGCUAUAAUCUGGCAGUGAAACAUUGCUCGGGGCUGCCACUCCAGCAAGGGAUGUGAGAUGAAGGGGAUGGAGACUCUUCCAGGAACGUGCUCUCGGAGGAAGAAAUGACUAGUAACGUUGUGACAUCCCUUGUACUUGCCAAGCCUGCAACUCCACUCUGCCGGGCACGGUGCGUGCUUUGAACCCUGCGUCCUGCCCCGGGUUUCGAAUGCUGUAUCAACACAGUGCACUGCAGGGUGUUUUCACCACCCCAAGGUACGUGGCCACAUUAUCAGGGUGCCAAGCCCUUAUGAUUAGUCCCAUGUUUGUGCAUGACACAAACAGCAUCACGCAGCCUUUGGAGGGGGUAGAGCAGGGGCAGCCUGAAAUCUCUGCAGUCCACAAUGUACCUGUCACCAUAUUUCAGCACUCGGGUCGAACUGAGGGGGGAAGUUUCAGCGGGAAAAGGUGGGGGGAUUUUAAUGCUAGGAUGGUUCAUUUUGAUGUUUUAUUUAAGCGGGGCAGUUCAAAGAGUUGUCUCAAAAAGUGUUUUGCUUUGAUAUCAGUGAAUAAUUUUAAAGAGUUAAAAAGCUUAAAUAGCCUUGAGAAAAAACAUUCUUAAAUGACUGUUAUCUUUUUUUUUUCUCUCCUCUCAAAAGUUACUGAAAACCUGUGUGAACCUGAACUGAGUUCGAGAAAAGGAUUGAUGUUUCAGCUCAGUCCGAGCUGUUAUCAGCAUGUUCAUAUUUGCAGGCUCAACAAGCAGCAGUAAAACAAACAGUUCAAGUGACUUGAGCAAGAUCACCUUGUAGGUAAGGGACAGAGACUGAAAUAGAUCCUGUGUCUCCUGUCCCGUGUCUCCACCUGACCAUUUUUGACUCUAAUUAAGCAAUUACAAAGGCUGUUUCCCUGGCAAGGUGAUAAUCAGCUUCACUGCUGAUUGCAGUGAGUUUUCAUCACCUGAUAGGACCAAGGCUUGCAGAACAGAGACACUUUCAGCUGCUGUAAAUCAGCACAGCUUUGCUUUCCCUUCCAGCGAGCCGCGCUGAUUUACACUACUGAUUUAUGUUGGCCUCCCUGAGGUCCCUGACAGAUGUGCAGUGGUGGAUUAAAAUCAGACAAAUGAAGGGCUAUGAGGUGCCACUGGCCUGCCACCCCAUCCUGCAAACAGGCAUUGCCACCCAGAGGCAGGGGCAUCUCCUCUAUGGCAGUUCAGGAGCUUUUGCACGAGGGGGUGAGACAGUGUCUGUGGCGGCAGCAGUCCCCGUCAGAGGGGCCGGGCAGAUGGCUCAGUGUGGUGGCAGCUCUGACUGCCCAAUUUUAAUCUGCUGCCACAUGCCUGUCAGAGCCUGAGUCACGUUCUGCUGUCUUUAAUCCAGCAAAACUCUCAUCGACUGAAUACAAAUCACCCGAUGCUUAGAGACCCCCUUCCUCAGCCCUGUCCUCGGCUCGGGCAGGGCCGAUGGAAGCACUGUGCUUUUUCUUUGGCAGAGGAAGAGACAGAAUCAAACCAUAUUCCCUGCAAAUAGAAGCCACAAAUACAUCAGGGAAGGAGAAGUCAAAGCAUUCACAGAGUGAGAAAGAUGCGGCAUGGUUUACAUUUGGCAGGUGGCACAAACCAAUCUUGAUGGAUCAAGCCUGAUUUCUGGGAAAACCCCACUGCGUUUUGUAUACCAUCCCUUCUCCCUUCUUCCUCUGCAAAGCACCCAAUCCACUUCUCUUUGAACAAAUCUGAGUAUUGGAUCAGGCCCUCAAAAACAGCAGUUUUGCAUCCACACGUGGAUGCUAGAUACUGGAAAGAGAAUCUCAGUUUUUACUAUCUGAAUUAGACUCUGGAGUCUCCAUUUGAGCAACUAACCUUUCGCAUCAGGAUAUGGAGAAUCACAGAGAGUUAAGCAGGCGUCUUUGAGGAGGUUUUAGGAAAGAGCAUCUACUCAAACAGACCGUGCAUUCUGAUAUUGCAAAAUACAUCUAUUUCUCACAUGAGGUUGAAAAAUCACAGCACCCUCUCCCCAAUUACAGAAUUAAAUACUCUGAAUGAUUAGUUUCAGAAACAUGCAGACUGAAAAGAAACAUUUAGCUAAGGUCAGCCACAACUAUUAAAUGGAAUAUGCACAUGACACAGUACUGGAAUAAAAACUCCAGCCCCUCUCCCA
ensembl:lncRNA